rnacentral:tRNA from 1 species
GCCCUGGUGGUGAAACUGGUAGACACGCCAUCUUGAGGGGGUGGUGCCGCAAGGCGUCGCGGUUCGAAUCCGCGCCAGGGCA